rnacentral:snoRNA from 1 species
GAGAAAUGAGGAUACAAACUUUGUCUUACUGUUGUAGUGAAGACUUCAGAUCCAACUCUGAUCUCAUGCUUAAG